CAGAUGAUAACAGUAAGUGGCUGAACUACGUGUAACCCACCAUGUGGAUUGACAUCACCCAACCUGACCAGACGCUGAUGAACAAGAAGAGUCCACUGAUCACUUGCUUGGAUGUCACAGCACUGACAAGUGAAGAAACCAAGGCACAGAGAGGUUAAGUAACCAUCCCAAAGGCACAGCCAAUAAAUCCUGAACCCCUACUCAGCUGCCUUGCUGCCUGGGCAGACUGAAGAAUGCUUCUUACUCAGAGCAGUGAUUUUGAUUUUACUAAGAAGCUCCUGGGAAGCUCUGUUCCUUGGUUUCCAUAAAUGCUUUUAUUUGAUUUUCAGAUGAAUUACUAAUUUGUGGUGUUAUGAAGAGCAGAAAGGAGAAUAGAUUGAGAGUGCUGUUCCUCUCAUGUAGAGGUGGCAGUUUGUUUGGUAGGGGGAGCAGGGAGGAGGUCCAGGUACAGCUUGAGAAAAAAAAUACCAACAACCCUUCCCAGUCUUCUCCCCCCAAAGAUAGGUUAUUUCACAAAUCAGAUAAAUACCAUAUAGCAGAGUGCACCUCCUUGAAAACUGGAAAAUAAAUUGCAUUGACCCAAGGAGAACAAGAUGUGAUAAAGAAAGUUAAUCAUUAUUGUUCUUCCCCAUUAAAAACAACAACAAAACUUUAAAAAGAGCCUGUCCUAAAAAUCAGAUAAACAAAACACAAUGUUGUUGUAUUCAAGAGUCAGUUUAUCUAAUAAGGCAGCCUCUAUAUAUCUGUUCAAAAAGAAGUGAAAGUUCAUUCAGCUUGGGUUUGUCAUCAAAAUAUUGAUAUUAGAAAGUACUGAGAUGGCAAUCAAUUGGGAUGCCUGAUAUAUAUAUAAAUAUAUAUAUAUUUUUACAGAUCAUCUCUCGAACUUGAGUAGUUGCUUACACAGCUAUGUACAGAAGUGUUUUCUGCAGGACUUUGGAUGAAAUGACCCUUCAAGGUGGUUUGGUGUCUUUCAAGUACACGGCUGUGUUUAUACCCCAUCCCGGAUCAGACAAGCUUCACUAACCACAGAAGUUGGGAUAAAAGCCAGAUGCAUCCCACACAUUCCUGUGGUCCUCCUGCCUUCUGGCAAACUCUAGGACCAGAUUGAAAAAUCUGUGCCCAGUUUGGAGGCCAAGUUUGGUGUGAUCCGGGGAUGAUUUAUAUGGCUCUGGGUGGAGUCCACAUGACAUGUGCUACUUUGGCCAAGUUUAGCUUUGGAGUUUCUGACUCAUUUGAAGUAAAAUGUACCAGGUGGGGACAGAUGGACUCCCCAACAGGGACCAGAGGGGUUUCCUCCAAAUCUUGUGGGACCCAAAAACCACUGAAUUUCUCACGUCCCUAUUCAAAGGCCUAAAAAACAGGCAACACAGGUGGUGUCAGGGAGAAGGAGUUGGAUG
rnacentral:lncRNA from 1 species